UUCAAAGUCCAAGAUGGCAACCCUCAAGGACCAGCUGAUUGUGAAUCUUCUUAAGGAAGAACAGGUCCCCCAGAACAAGAUUACAGUUGUUGGGGUUGGUGUUGUUGGCAUGGCCUGUGCCAUCAGUAUCUUAACAAAGGACUUGGCAGAUGAGCUUGUCCUUGUUGAUGUCAUGGAAGACAAGCUGAAGGGAGAGGUGAUGGAUCUCCAGCAUGGCAGCCUCUUCCUUAAAACACCAAAAAUUGUCUCCAGCAAAGACUGUUGUGUAACUGCAAACUCCAAGCUGGUCAUCAUCACAGCGGGGGCCCGUCAGCAAGAGGGAGAGAGCCGACUCAAUCUGGUCCAGCGAAACAUGAACAUCUUCAAGUUCAUCAUUCCCAACAUUGUGAAGUACACUCCACACUGCAAGUUGCUUAUUGUCUCAAUUCCAGUGGAUAUCUUGACCUACGUUGCUUGGAAAAUCAGUUAUUGCCAAAAGCCGAGUUAUUGGAAGUGGUUGCAGUCUGGAUUCAGCUCGGUUCCGUUACCUGAUGGGAGAAAGGCUGGGGGUUCACCCGCUGAGCUGUCACGGGUGGGUCCUGGGAGAACAUGGCGACUCCAGUGUGCCUGUGUGGAAUGGUGUGAACAUUGCCGUGUCUCCCUGAAGUCUCUUAACCCAGAACUGGGCACUGAUACAGAUAAGGAGCAGUGGAAGCAUGUUCACAAGCAGGUGGUUGACAGUGCCUAUGAGGUGAUCAAGCUGAAAGGUUAACACAUCCUGGGCCAUUGGCCUCUCUGUGGCCGACUUGGCCGAGAGCAUAAUGAAGAACCUGAGAUGGGUGCAUCCCAUCUCCACCAUGAUUAAGGGUCUCCAUGGGAAUUGAUGAUGUCUUCCUCAGUGUCCCAUGUAUCCUGGGACAAAAUGGAAUCUUGGAUGUUGUGAAGGUGACUGGCUCCUGAGGAAGAGGCCCGCCUGAAGAAGAGUGCAGAUACCCUCUGGGGAAUCCAGAAGGAGCUUGUGUUGGACCCACACCUGGCCAUUACCCAGGGAGAAAUGGAGUUAGCAGUGACAUUAAAUGUACCGUAUGAUUCCUUGAUGAUAAACUUCGUGUUCUGGCCAAACUCCAGCCACAACCACGUGAAUUUCAUUGUCUUUGCUGCCAUUUGUUAUGCUCGCUCCUCCUUGAGGACUGUAGUUGUUUUAAUGCAGUGCACUGCAAGUUUCAACACACUCUUGCAUCACCUGGAAAUCUUGCAAAAGCUUAUAUGUAGAGUCACAGCCCUAAGAGAGUGCCCAGGUUUCUGCAACUUUCAAGACUCAGUGCUAAUACUGUUGAUGCCUGGGAUCGUAUGUCAGUGGAGAACAGCUAGGUCGCACGUCACAGAUUUUACACAGUAA